rnacentral:rRNA from 1 species
UUCCGGUUGAUCCUGCCGGACCUGACUGCUAUCGGAUUGAUACUAAGCCAUGUGAGUCAUUGUAGCAAUACAAGGCAGACGGCUCAGUAACACGUAGCCAACCUACCCUAUGGACGGGGAUAACCUCGGGAAACUGAGGAUAAACCCCGAUAGAUCAUUAUGCCUGGAACGGCUUAUGGUCCAAAUGAUUCGUCGCCGUAGGAUGAGACUGCGGCCUAUCAGCUUGUUGGUGAGGUAAUGGCCCACCAAGGCUAUUACAGGUACGGGCUCUGAGAGGAGUAGCCCGGAGAUGGGUACUGAGACACGGACCCAGGCCCUAUGGGGCGCAGCAGGCGAGAAACCUUUGCAAUGUGCGCAAGCACGACAAGGUUAAUCCGAGUGUUUCCUGUUAAAGGAAUCUUUUGUUAGUCGUAAAAUCACUAUUGAAUAAGGGGUGGGCAAGUUCUGGUGUCAGCCGCCGCGGUAAAACCAGCACCUCAAGUGGUCAGGAUGAUUAUUGGGCCUAAAGCAUCCGUAGCCUGUUCUGAAAGUUUCCGGUUAAAUCCAUUAACUCAACUAAUGGGCUGCCGAAAAUACUGCAGAACUAGGGAGUGGGAGAGGUAGACGGUACUCGGUAGGAAGGGGUAAAAUCCUUUGGUCUAUUGAUGACCACCUGUGGCGAAGGCGGUCUACCAGAACACGUUCGACGGUGAGGGAUGAAAGCUGGGGGAGCAAACCGGAUUAGAUACCCGGGUAGUCCCAGCUGUAAACGAUGCAAACUCGGUGAUGCGCUGGCUUGUGGCCAGUGCAGUGCCGCAGGAAGCCGUUAAGUUUGCCGCCUGGGAAGUACGUACGCAAGUAUGAAACUUAAAGGAAUUGGCGGGGGAGCACACAAGGGUGAGCUGCGGU